AAGAAGCGUGCUCACCCGUGACUGUCCUGUUGGUUCGCCUUUAAAGGCCAGCCGGCAGCCAUCUAAAUGUAGGAAGUAAGCAUUUAUAGGGCAGCUGGCAGCACAUCUUUUGCUGUGAUACUAAUCUAAGUAAGGUAGGUCUCGUUAGUGCAAUGGCUUCUUUAGACGAUGGAGCGCCCGGCCGCCGCCCCGCACCUCCCGCUCGCCUCUCCGGCUCUCUCGCAUCACGUUGCACGCAAGCCGAGUCCGCGGCGUCCUCCGGCGGGGAGACUAGCGGCGGCGCCGCCAUCGAAUCUGGCUAGGCCGCCGACGCUGACCUGCAACGGCGAGGCAGACCGCAGUCAGAUUUGGCCAGGCAGAGGUCUCCAUCGGGAGGGCCACCAGUGUGGUCCGAGCCUGCUCAGGCGUGGAUAUGAGCUCCACCGACGGAUCUUCUUUGCUCCUUUCCAAGUUCAUAAAUCGGUUACUAUUUCUUUUCUUGCUCCUCCACCUCACAGAUUUUUUUUUCUCAGAACGAAAAUUACCGCUGGGGCGGCGGCGUUAUGCUCGCCGUGGCAGCGUGGCUGGCGGCACCGGUUGGGCAACGCUGAGGAGGAGGAGCUGGAGAUGGCCGCCGACGCUGCUCUGGAACCCUCCACCUACUCUAAUCCUCACCAACUCUCAACGCCACACCGGCGAGCUCCGGCCCAGGAAUCCUCCGGCGGGAUGGAUCCAAGAGGGUCGCCAUUGUAGCCUGUCUCCAGCGGCAUCAAACCGCGCGACGAAGAUGGCUCCAAGCCGGUACUCGAUGGCGCCUGCCUCCGGCGGCGUCGGGUUGGCGAAACAAACAGGCAGAGCUGAUGCCGGGGGACCUCGCCGAUUGCGUCAAGGUGGGCGCAGUCAUCUUCUCCAGGUGGUGCGGCCCAGACGCAGGACUCCCCGAGGAUGUUGCAUCGAAGUGGAGCUUCUGCCGAAUCCUUUUUUUUCGAAGUGGAGAUGCAUGUAGUAGUUAGGUCUUGAUCCAGUUCUUGUUAUGCAAAGUCAGAGAUUUGAAAUCAGACCAGACUAUAUGCCCAUGCCACUGUUUUUUGAUCCAGUUCUUGAUUCGUUCCCCUUGUUCAGCGGAGGAGAAACAGGGAACUCGAGAAGGGGAGUUGGGGCUGGAUCGCCGGCGGCAAAGGCCGGACCAAAGGUGGCGCAUCCAUGAUUGCCAAACAUGAAUGGCAGCCACCAUCCAUGUAACCCAUUCCUGUCAUUUCCCUCAAUCCCAUUAUUUUUUGCCCUAUUUCCCUUGGAGAAGGUUAGUGACUAGCAAGUGAAGUCCGCAGUUGCAGAUCGCCAAAUGAGACAUGAUCAAUCUCCCGAUCUAAUAUGGGGUAAAGUACAAGGAACAAUGUAACACUAAAAAUUGCUAGUUAGACAUGCAAAUCUAGUGGUGAACUUUCUUUUCAGUUGCAGUAGAUCGUUUACAGUAAAGUACACUGAAGUUGUACUCUUUAUGAUUGUGUUAAUCUAUUUUGGGUUGUAAUCUUUAUUACUGUGUUCAUCUAUUUUAGGCUGCAGCAUGUUUUAUCCAGUGAAUAUAUACUUUUUAUUACCGUGAUAAUAUAUUUUGGGCUGCAACAUGUUUUAGCAAAUUGACUGAAUGAUAAUGCACUCGGCUACAGCCCAGCCUUGUCCAUGACUGCGCGUGUGUUCUUCAGGUAGCUUCUUGCAGGAGACCAGCUCUUGGCGCUUGGAGAUGGGGUGAGCAUCAAGGGACAAGCACGGCAGCUAUGCUUCAACGUGCCAUAGCUCUGGACUCAACAUCGGCGACCACCGUGGCACCUAAUUUGCCGGGCAAGCAUGGAUGAUCUCUCCGGCGGCACCAUGUCCAGUAGGAGGCGCCGACCACUGACGAUGCAGGUGCUGACCUCUGAGAUCCUCAUGUGACGAUGCAGGUGCCGACCUCUGAUUUUAUACUGAUGAGAUCUGGGUUGUGAGUUAGUGUAAUGCAUCAACAUUAUGCACUUUUAUUCAUGUACUUCAGCUACCGUGUUCAAGUCUUGUAUAAAAAUUAGAUUUUUUAUUGAAGAGAAAACUGUGUAUUAUUAUCCCUGUAUGCCGAACAGUACAACUUGGUAUUGUUCAGGUUGACCGGGAACAAGAAAAGAAAUUCCAAAAAACAAA